CGUGUAGGCGGCAUAGCAAGUCGGGUGUGAAAGCCCUCAGCUUAACUGAGGAAGUGCGCCCGAAACUGCUGUGCUUGAGUGCCGGAGAGGAUGGCGGAAUUCCCCAAGUAGAGGUGAAAUUCGUAGAUAUGGGGAGGAACACCGGUGGCGUAGGCGGCCAUCUGGACGGUAACUGACGCUGAGACGCGAAAGCGUGGGUAGCAAACAG
rnacentral:rRNA from 1 species